rnacentral:rRNA from 1 species
GCACGGCUGAGGAACACGUGACUAACCUACCCCGGUGUGGGGGAUAACGGGUCGAAGGACUCGCUAAUCCCGCAUACGAUCCGCCUCGGCGGAGGAAAGCCGUAAGGCGCACUGGGCGGGGGUCGCGUCCCAUUAGAUAGUUGGUGUGGUAAUGGCGCACCAAGUCGAUGAUGGGUCUCUGGUCUGAGAGGACGACCAGACAGAUUGGGACUGAGACACGGCCCAAACUCCUACGGGGGGCAGCAGCAAGGAAUUUUCGGCAAUGGGCGCAAGCCUGACCGAGCAACGCCGCGUGGAGGAUGACGGCUCUUGGGUUGUAAACUCCUUUUGGGGGGGACGAUAAUGACGGUACCCUCCGAAUCAGGCCCGGCUAACUACGUGCCAGCAGCCGCGGUAAUACGUAGGGGCCAAGCGUUGUCCGGAAUUACUGGGCGUAAAGCGUGGGUAGGUGGUCGGUGAUGUGCCGCGUGAAAGCGCCGGAGUAAUGCCGGCGAGGUCGCGGUAGACACACGGACUCGAGGCUCGCAGAGGAACGUGGAAUUCCCGGUGUAGUGGUGAAAUGCGUAGAUAUCGGGAGGAACACCAGUGGCGCAAGCGGCGUUCUGGGCGAGACCUGACACUGAGCCACGACGGCGUGGGGAGCAAACAGGAUUAGAUACCCUGGUAGUCCACGCAGUAAACGAUGCAUACCAGGUGUGGGAUGGCGUUCGCGUCGUUCCGUGCCGCAGCUUACGCGAUGAGUAUGCCGCCUGGGGACUACGAGCGCAAGCUUAAAACUCAAAGGAAUUGACGGGGGCCCGCACA